rnacentral:lncRNA from 12 species
AUUACAUGUAUACAAGUUAUAGCUCUACGAAGCUAUUACACAAAACAGAUUGCUUUUCGAAGAAUUAGUGUUCUAAGGAACUCUUGUGGGAAACAGAGAUCCAAGCCAGGCCAGCUGGGUCCCCCUGGUGGCCUGGAGGACGAGGUUCACCUGUGAUCCUUGAAUUCUGCCCCACCCCCCACCUAAGGAAGUCCAUGGGAUUUUCUUUUUUUUUUUUUUUUAAUAUUUUAUUUUAUUAUUUAUUAUAGUCACAGACUGAGAGAGAGGCAGAGACACACACAGAGAGAGAAGCAGGCUCCAUGCACCGGGAGCCCGACGUGGGAUUCAAUCCCGGGUCUCCAGGAUUGUGCCCUGGGCCAAAGGCAGGCGCCAAACCGCUGCGCCACCCAGGGAUCCCAGUCCAUGGGAUUUUCUUUGCCAACAGAGCCAGAGGCAGAGUCAGAGUACUGCCCUGCAGUUAUAGUCCCUCGUGGCACAGGCACGGAACCAGGGCUGGGCUUCUGGAGACUCCAGGCCGGAGACCGUUAAGGUUGGAAGGGACGUGGAUGCUUGAAUCUGCUAUCUCCUCUCCCCACCAAGCCAACCUGCUUGAAGCUUUCUGGGGCCAAGGAGCUAACGACCUCCCAUUUCAUUGCUCAAUAGCUGUGGCUGUGGCUGUGGCGGGCGGAAGCUCUUCCUCAUGUCACCCUGACUUGUGCCAACGCCUUCCACUAGCCUCUGUGCUCUCCCGAGGGCAGCAUGGAAUGUGACUAAUGCCUCUGCUACGACGCCCAGCAAGGCCCAUGUUCUUGGGCCCUCUGAGCUCCCUGAGGUGCCAGGAGGCCAUUCCCCACCCAGAGCAAGCUUGCACAUCCCUGCCUUACACCGGGGCCAGUAUCCUGCGCUGUUCCAAUCCUGGCCCCCCAGCCUGUCCCUCGCCUCCCUGGCCUGGGCCAUCUGUCCCAGCUUCCCAUGGCCUCUCAGACCUGCAGCUAAAUGACCCUCUGGCUGUUCCCCUUCCCAGAUGCAUCUUCUAUUCCCCUCAGGUGAACUUUCUUCUGACCUCUGCGAGGAACUCUCAGCACCCACCUGGCCCUGGGAGGCCCCUUCCUACCCCACUGAGCCUGUGGCUGGGUUAUUCCACCUCUGCAGAGAGAGUCCAACACACUGGACAGCUCACAGUCCCAUGGAGAUAGUGACUGUGCCCAUCUGUCUUGGUGUUCCCAUCCAGUGGUUAGCCCCAAGUCCAUCUACCUCCUCCAAACACCCUACCCUGUCCAGGAGUGCAGCUCAGGUCUCCUUGAGCUGAUCACAGGCCUCCAACUUGGCCUGACCAUCACAGCAGGGCCAGGAAGGGCAUAGGAGCACUGCCUGUCUCUCCUUCUGGAAGCCACCUUCUAUUAAUGUCCAGAUGACUAAGGCCACAGGGAAAUCCCUUCACAUCUAGGAACAUCCUUGUUUAUGCCUGGUUCUGUGCCCUGAUGGGUGUGAAGUGCAAGAUGAUGGCUCCCUUCCUUACUGUGUGACCCCACCAGGUCAUCCCUUGUUCCCCAGCCCCCCAGGCCUUCAUUUUCUCCUCUAUAUGAUGAGAAGCUGGGCUCUGUCACUGGCAAACCUCUCUGGCUCUUCGGGGCAGCUGGUGCCCAGGCCAUCCUCACCCCUACAUUGGACAUCCUGCUGGGUUGGGGGUCCUAGGCCACCACCAGCCCUCGUGUCACUGACCAGAAGCAGCCCUGUCCUGCACACGGCUGCUGUCUCAGUGAGUCACUGCACCACGGCAUGUUUAUUAGGAUGGUGGGAGUUCAUUUUGCCAACUUUGGAACCACGGGAGCCGGCUAAGUUUAGAACAAGCCUCGAGCGUGAGGACGCCGUGUUCCUUCUCCUUUUGGCAAAACACGAGACUUGAGCUAUUCUUUUCAUCUUCAUUCUCCCAGACACGUCCUCAGCUUUAUUUACCACUAGAUCUGUCUUCGCCCAACACAAACUCCUCUGUAAUUUAGGGAGAAAACACCCCCAAUCAUCCUAAGGUUGAAAAACAUCUGAUCAUUGGAAUGUUUCAAGGACGAUAACAAAGCUUCUGCAAGAUAGGAUGCUUUCUACUUAAAGCAGAUGUAAAUCUAGGUCCUGUGGAUGGGCUUCAUGAGAUGCAGGGAGCCCCCAUAUCCUUACGUGAAUGUGCUUUUACCUGGGUAAAGUGUCCAUAGUUUUUAUUGGAUUUGCAAAGGGGUUCAUGACUCCUGCUCAAAAUCACAAAUCUCAGAUUUGGAGAAAGAUGGCCACCUGGCACCUGCACUGUAGAGUCCUUCCCAGCUUUGGGCUUUCCAUGAUUAGAUAUUGGAUGUCUUCUUGGGAUCUGCACUGGGAGUGAAACCCUGGAGCCUGACUAAGGUGGGACAUGCCACAACAGCACUGCUGGGAGGAGAAGCUUCAAUUUGGUGGCAGUUGGAGAGAGGUGUGGAGCCUUCACGUGGAGGGGAGUGAUGUCAUCACUGUAAACUGGGGAGGAGGUCAGAUGGGUCGGGGUGAGCAAUUCAGGAUUAAGAGGGUGAUGAGAUGAAGCAACAAGAGGCCAGCUGGGAUGUGCUCCCAGCUAAACCAGACAAUGAGAUGGGUCCAAUAUUAGCAUUUAUUUUUUUUUAAUUUUUAUUUAUUUAUGAUAGACACACAGUGAGAGAGAGAGAGGCAGAGACACAGGCAGAGGGAGAAGCAGGCUCCAUGCACCGGGAGCCUGAUGUGGGAUUUGAUCCUGGGUCUCCCGGAUCGCGCCCUGGGCCAAAGGCAGGCGCUAAACCGCUGCGCCACACAGGGAUCCCCAAUAUUAGCAUUUAAAGGGGCAUGUGGUGGGCACCUGGGUGACUCAGUGGUUGAGCAUCUGCCUUUGGCUCAGGGUGUCAUCACAGGGUCCUGGAAUCAAAUCUUGCUUCAGAAUCCCUGCGGAUGUCUCCCUUUGCCUAUGACUCUGCCUCUGUGUGUGUGUGUGUGUCUCAUGAAUUAAUAAAUAAAAUCUUUAAAAUAAGUGGAUAAAUAAA